ACCGCGAUAGCUCAGUUGGUAGAGCAACUGCCCGGUAUGCGGAGGGUGGCCGGUUCAAUUCCGGCACGCGGAG
rnacentral:tRNA from 1 species